UACGUAGGGUGCAAGCGUUGUCCGGAAUUAUUGGGCGUAAAGAGCUCGUAGGCGGUCUGUCGCGUCUGCUGUGAAAACUCAGGGCUUAACCCUGAGCUUGCAGUGGGUACGGGCAGACUAGAGUGCGGUAGGGGAGACUGGAAUUCCUGGUGUAGCGGUGAAAUGCGCAGAUAUCAGGAGGAACACCGGUGGCGAAAGCGAGCGACUGGAUCUCUACUGACGCUGAGGCGCGAAAGCCAGGGGAGCAAACGGG
rnacentral:rRNA from 1 species